rnacentral:rRNA from 1 species
AAACGACUCUCGGCAACGGAUAUCUCGGCUCUCGCAUCGAUGAAGAACGUAGCGAAAUGCGAUACUUGGUGUGAAUUGCAGAAUCCCGUGAACCAUCGAGUCUUUGAACGCAAGUUGCGCCCGAAGCCAUUAGGCCGAGGGCACGUCUGCCUGGGCGUCACGUAUCUCGUCGCCGCCCCCGCCCGCUGU